rnacentral:rRNA from 1 species
CAGUCGCCGCGGUAAUACGAAGGGGGCUAGCGUUGCUCGGAAUGACUGGGCGUAAAGGGCGCGUAGGCGGCGAUCAAAGUCAGGCGUGAAAUUCCUAGGCUCAACCUGGGGGCUGCGCUUGAUACUUGGUUGCUUGAGUGGGGAAGAGGGUCGUGGAAUUCCCAGUGUAGAGGUGAAAUUCGUAGAUAUUGGGAAGAACACCGGUGGCGAAGGCGGCGACCUGGUCCUUGACUGACGCUGAGGCGCGAAAGCGUGGGGAGCAAACAGGAUUAGAUACCCCGCGUAGUCCCUGUCUCUUAUU